rnacentral:lncRNA from 1 species
AUUGAUUUCAGCAGUAAGCAACCCAAUUCCUUCACCUAGCAGCUGAAAUUUUCAUGUGUAUGGAGAUAAAUUUCAGUAGUCGGCAGCCUUAUUAAUUCAACAAUUUUCUUUGCUUCAGUUUUCGUGUCGACGGCCGCUAAUUCACUCCAAACUUGCCUCACUUUCUGUGCUUGAAUUUAAUAAUAUUCUUGGCUGCCCUCUGUGUGUAUGGGGGUACUUUUAAGUUUGAUCCAGUCAAAGGGAGGAAAUUCCACUUUGACUUUGAAAAUCAUGAAUAUUAUCACAUUGGCCUCUUGAAUGUUAAAAGACAAGGAUGCCCUUAAAUGUAUUAUACAAUUACAAAACAAUGUAUUGUUGAAAAGACUUUACCACCCUUUUAGUUAAUAAUUGAAUAUCAAAUACUUUCCCACUUAUAAAAUCUCAAAACGAGUUUCUAAAACAGAAAAAAACCCAUCUUUCAUCUGCUUGAACCUCAACAUCUCAAAAAACGUUCAAACACUGAAGUCGGAAUUUUUUUUCAUAUCAAUUUCUUCAAAUCGGUAAGUAUAUUUACACAUGUUUAAUUUCUUUUUCAGUAAAUUAAUAUACGUUUGAAUAGAGAAAAUUUAUUUCGACAUAGUAAUAGUUAGUAUUAAUUUUUUUUAGCAGAUCUUACGUAUUAAAAAAAAUUUGGACGGAUCUAUAAUUUUUUUCUUCUACGUAAUGCAGAAAACAGAAACGUAAUCGGCUGUUUGGCUGUUAAACAGCCAACCAGUCCCGUGACUGUUAGCUGUUAAACAGCCAACAGUCGGCUGUUAACAGUCGACUGUCUGUUGACAGUCGACUAUUGGCACCGAUUUUUGUUGGCAAUGCAUUAUUUUUUCUUAUAAUUAAUAAAUGAAGUUGAUUAAAUCCAUUUUCUCAUGCAAAUAUGAUAAUCCCCGUCUGUUAUUUCGGUAAUUUCGAAUUGAAUGAAAAUAAUCGGUGGGAAUGAAGAUAGACGAGUGACAUACGUGGUUAUAUUGCAAUUCCCAUAAUAGAGAGUACACCAUACUUAGAAAUGUACCAUGAUUUGCAAAAUAAGCUGAAUGUCGAUCAAUCUCAAUACGAUAUGCAAUUGAGAUAUCUAUUCAAUGGUUAUGGGGAUUCAUCCAUUCCGAUGCCACUGGUAUUCGUUACUAAUGAUGCUGAAUUGAAUUAUCUAUUAGAAUUGAAUAAAAUGCAUCGGACUCCAACUGUUUUUGGUGUGACUUUAAUUACGAAGGAUGUUAUCGAAGGUGAACACGAAGAUUCAGAUAGGGUGGAUAACAAUGAUCGAGGUUUUUGGGAGACAGUCGAGAUAGUUCCUGCGGAUGAUGUGGUUAUUCCCGAGACAGUUGCUUCUGAUCGUGAUGUCGCUAUUACGCGCAGAAUUCCGUCGACGGUUGAAAACAAUGAGAAUAUAAAUGAGUUUACAAAUGAGAAUUUGAUUGCUUUAUCUCGACAGAGACAUGAACCGGGCGAGAGCUCACAAGUUGGAACAAGUGGACUGUCCUCCAAUUCUUCCUGUGUGGCUCCCGAUUAUGAGGACUUGUAUGUCGAGCAAUUGUUUGAAACCAAGAAAGAUUUGCAGAAAGCUGUUCACCGGCUGUCAUUAAAAUAUAACUUUAAGUUCAAGGUAAAGAAAUCAAACAAGUCAUUAUUGACAGUUGCCUGCGUCGAAGGCAGUUGCAAUUGGCGCUUGAGAGCAAUUAAGAUGGACAUGAAUGAGUGCUUCGUAAUUCGCAAGUAUUCACGGGAACAUACUUGCGAAGUGGGAAUUCUUCGAAACGAUCACAGGCAAGCUCGAGCAUGGUUUAUUAGUCGACAGAUAAUGCACAAGUAUCAAGACCCAUGGACGAUCUACAGACCUUCGGACAUCAUUAAUGACGUCCGUCGAGAGUAUGGAGUGAUCAUGAGCUACCAGAAAGCCUGGAAGGCCAAAGAAUGUGCGUUGGAUGAUUUAAUGGGAUCGGCUGAGGAGAGCUAUACUAAAUUGGCCAGGUAUUGCCAUAACAUGGGGAGAACUAAUCCUGACACGACAUUUUUUAUUGAGACGUGAAGCGAUAAUUGUUUUAAGUAUUUCUUCAUGGCUCUCGGACAAUGUAUUCGGGAUUUUCAAAAUGCAAUGCGACCCGUAAUUCUAGUUGAUGGUACAACUCUGAAAGUUAAAUAUCAAGGCAAAUUAAUUAUUGCUACAUGUCAAGACGCUAACAUCCAAAUUUACGCUAUUGCAUUCGGCAUAGUCGACAGCGAGAAUGAUCUAUCCAUGCGUUGGUUCUUUUCGAAACUGAGGGAAGUGAUCGGGGAAGUCGAAGACCUUGCCUUUGUAACCAAUCGGGGAUAGUCAAUAAUAAACGAUAUCGCUGAAGUUUUUCUAUAGGCACAUCACGGGUAUUGCAUGUACCAUAAACAAGGUAAUUUGAAAACUAGGUAUCGGGGCAGACAUCGUUUCAUUGUUCAGGAGAGCAGCAGAAGCUUACAGUGCUGAAGAGUGUAAUAAGUUCAUGUUUGAGAUAGGAAGUAAAUCAUUACCGGCGUUGGAGUAUUUGACGAACACGGGGAUCGAAUAUUGGGCGCGAUCAUACUCUCCAGGACGUCGAUACAACAUGAUGACGUCGAAUAACGCGUAGUCUCUUAAUGCAUUGUUUAAGAAGGAUCGAGAGUUACCAAUUCUCGCAAUGAUUGAGAACAUUCUUAACAAGCUGCAACAAUGGUUUCAUGACCGAUGUGCGGCAUCACAGAGUUGCCGUAGCGUGCUGGCCCCAACUCAAGAGGAGAAACUCUUUAAGGCAGCAGAGGUUGCGAGGAAGUUGAAUGUGAAAGCACUAGAUGAGUUCCGCUUCUCGAUGCAAUGUGCACGUAAUACGGCAUAUAUGGUGGACUUGACUGAUAACACAUGCACUUGUACGAAAUUUCAGUUGGAGAGUUUUCCAUGUGAGCAUGCAGUUGCGGUGGCCAUGUAUCGAGGCUUUGCAGCGAGAACGCUAUGCUCUUUGUAUUAUACGACUAAGUCUUGGAGAAUAGCAUAUGCGGAGACUAUAUUUCCUCUGCCGGAUGAAACCAGAAUGGGAAGUUCCAGAGCACAUUCUCCUGUUUAAUGAUUUGUUGCCACCAGCAGUUGAACCGCAUGGUCCUGAACUUCUAAGUACAUCUAGAAUAUUAUCUACCGGAGAGUUUCCUCGACCGCGUAGGUGUGGCAGGUGUAGAGCCAUAGGGCAUACUCGACAAUUUUGUACCAGUUAAAUUUCCCUAAAUGACAAUUAGACAGGUACGUUCAAUAUUUGUUCUUCAUAAAUGUUCAGCGUUCUAUAUUUAUUCUUGAUAAAUGGUAUUUACAAUGAUUCAUAUGAAAAAAUUAGUUCCAUUCUCAACAUAUGUGUAAAAUAACAAAAAAUCAAUUUACAAAAAAAUAAUUAUAUACAUUGAACAUAAAUUUACAAUUAUUUCAUAAUAAAAAAAUAAUUACAUUUACAAUGUGAAUGUUAUAUACACUGAACACAAAUUUACAAUUAUUUCAUAAUCAUAAAAAAUAAUUAAAUUUAUAAUUCGAAUGUUACAUAUAUUUAAUACAAAUUUACGGGUCACCAUUAAAUUCGAACAAAUCACAUGCUAGCUUCUUUCUCCAGUUCUGUAUCCACGAUUGGUUGAUUCCAUCAAUCUUAUGUCCUAUACUUAAAAAUUCAACGUACUUAAUGACAAAUAUGCCGCAGUAGCUGCUACAAUUGAACAAGAAUGGAUCGGUUCAGUACUGUGUAGCUAAAAAACUAAAUCUGAAAGAUGAAAACAACAAAGUUCAAACACUUACCUUACGGACUGUCGCGAUGUCGUCGUGUUCCGAACAAUCUGCAAUCUGUCCUGUACAGUCAUCCCUGCUUGUCUGGCCAUCAUAGGAACAAUUACAGCUACGGACUCCAAAUUUUGCUCCAACUAGCCUUGCGUCAAACAUGAAUGAUCUGGGUCGUACACAUAUAUAGUUGUGUCAGCAAAAACGAUCUCCAGCGUAACAUAGUGCUUAUUGAUGCACGCUGGAAUGUACAUAUGUGUACAAUCCUCCCAUGAUUUUCCACCGACACUCGGCGACAAUCCUAUGACCUACUCGAGCAUAUAUUCUGACACCGUGUACUCGUUACCCAUAAGUUGGAGUGACUGAUACUCUAUGGUAACGGCACGCAGGAACUCGGUGUUUAAUAUGACUCGACCAUGGACGUCAAAUGAUUUUGGAUGUCUCUAAGCUCGAUCUUGCAGCAAGUCCAUGGCCAGGUCGAUGUGUUGCAUCAAAAAACACCAAAAUAUUAUUUGUUAUUUAUUUAAUAAAUACAAAGUGAUGUAUACAUACAAAAUACGAAAUGAAUAGUUCACUUACAUCAUCGGCGAGCCAAGCUCCCGAAGUCGUGAUAUCUUGGAACCACUUGUAAGUGUUCGAGACCGUCCGGUUACCUAUCGUGCGGGUAGCUCUGAAAAAAUAGGAAAAUGUUAAAAUAAGCAUAGACGAGUUAGCGUACAGUGCUUUAUUAGAAUCAUACAAUACUUACCCGGGGAUAAUUCUCCUCCACUCCGUCUCGAAUGCUUUUCACUUCGCAUUGUCCACCUCUUUGAAUAAGUUCAAGUACGUCUCAUCGAUGAAUGUCCUCCUCUUGGCCUCAGCAGUGAAGGGAGAAACAACAUACUGUGACCGCACUCUUAACCUCUUACCGACCACCUGCUCCGUCUCAUCAACAACAUGUCUCUUACCCUCAAUCACGAUGGGCGUCCUCUCUCCCUCCGGGGCCCCCUCCUCCGUCGCCACCUCAUCUGCCCCUCUCAUUGGGGCCACCUCUUCCGUCACCUCAUCCGUCCCCCCCAUCGGUGCCUCCCCCUCUGUCACCACCUCCUCCGUCUCUCCCAUCGGUGCCUCCCCCGUCGCCCCCAUCGGGGCUACCCUAUCCCCCUCUAUAGACAACUAGAAUGACUCUAAUAUCUCGUCAUGCCAAAAAUAUGUGUGACCCCCCUCUCCAUCACCAUCUCUGCCAUCUCUCCCAUCCACUCUGUCCCCCCGUCGCCUAGCGGCUAAAUUUCCUCUAAGUGUCGCUACCGCAUCCUGAAAGUUGACAAUGCAAGAUCGUAGCAUUCCAACAUUAUGGGAUAGAUUGUCAACCCUCCCUGUCAACUCUCGUCCCAUAUCAUCGAGCCUCCCUGUCAGAUAGUCGACCUUCCCCGUUAGAUCGUCGACCUUCCCAGUCAACUCUCGUCCCAGAUCAUCGACCCUCUCCGUCAACUCUCAUCGUAGCGCCCCGACCUCCUCCGCUAUAAAUCUAGUCAGACGGGCAUACAAAUCAUCACUGUGUGUCGGCGAUACACGAGCGACGUGUCUGGACGAGGGAGAAGGAGAUACCCUUGGGGGUGGCGAUGCCAAUGGUAGCGGUGAUGCCCUCGGCGGAGGCGAUGCCAAUGGCGACGGCAAUGCCCUCGGCGGAGGCAAUGCCAAUGUCGACGACGAUGCCCUCGACGGAGGUGAUGCCAAUGGUGGCAGCGAUACCCUCGACGGAGGUGAUCAUCGAUCAGCUGGACCGCUCUCCUACAUAAAUAACAUUAAAAAUUAUUCAAUAAAUUUAUACGUCGACGAUAUUCAAUAAAUUAUAUUUAAUUCACAUACCUAAUCUCGAUCCAGACUCGGAUCAGACAUCUGCUCGUCCUUGGUGUGCGGAACGCCUACAUCCCGCACAAGACCCCGAGCCUCCUCUUCCAUCGACGACGUCAACUUAGGUAUGACUUCAAGCUGAUAUAUUGAUAUUUGAACUAGUUAACGAUCAUGUAAACAGAUUUAAACUACGUAUAAUAUAAAUCACAAAUGCAUAAUACUUACCCAAGGAUCGUCGAGGAGGGCCGAUAACUGUUUUCCAGUGGGACAUCCCUCCGCUCGCGACGAUCUCCUAUGAUGCAUCUGAGGGCAUCGUGUCUCCCCUCGCUUCACAAAGCGGGCUCCCAGUGCAGGGACUGUCUCAUACACCUACAUUUGCAACACAUACACUUAUUAUGCAUAAAUGUAAUAUACUAAAACUUUAAUUUUAAUUAUAUUAAACAUUUACCUGCACCGCUAAGGGCAAUCCAUAUUUAUCGUAUUUACGCAUUGAUCCCCUGGGCCUCGAGUGUAAUCUGGUAAAGACAUGUACGGUGUCUUCGUAGCAUCUUCGGCCCCAUGGUAGUUGUUGAACGCAUCAAUGUCGUCAACAACUUCCAAAUGAAAAAUGUCGAUGGCAGUCUUUUUGUGAUAACACCUCAUCACACUCUCGAGGAUGUAGACCAGCCCAAGUUUCAAUCUAUCUAGCAUCUGGUUGCACCCCCUAAUCGCAACCAUCAACUCGGGUAGAUGCAUUGACCCAUGUCCCUGGAAGUACGUCUCGUACAGCCUAUUGCUUCUCUCAAUGGCUGCAUCGUCGCCCGUAAUCCUUAGUUCCGUGAUCAAGCUAAACUCAUAAAUCGAGAAACUGACGACCUUGCCCCCGAGGUCGAAGUGGAGGGAAUCGCCAUCGAAUGUCCUCAAAAGCCGACAUAGAAGUGCAUUGAUGAUCUGUCCUGAGUACUGCACCUCUCACAUCUGGUACAGUGGCCACAAUAAGGACUGUCGCAGCAUAUCUCCGUGAUGAUCAUCAAGCAGCUCCAACACCGCAGUAAAACUCUCAAAACUACUGCUCCAAGUAGCUUUCCCCGCCAUCCGUCUCAACUCCCCAUCUAAAUGAUACUCCAUCCUACAAAAAUUCAAAUGUUAGAACAUUGAACAAUAGAUAAUAAAGUAACGCAUAAUCUCAAAAAAUCAAGGCAACCGAAUUAUAACUAUCAUACAAUACGCAAGACAUUGACCCUAAUAACAAAAUAAAUUCAAUGCAAAUUUAAAAAUUAAAAUAAUUUAGUUUAUCUUGUAUUUUACAUUUGGAAAAUAUAUUUACAAAAAAAAAUUCAAAUUAAAUACAUUUAAAAAAAUAAAGAAUAUAAAUAUUAUUUAAAUAAAUUAGAACAAAAUCAAAGAUUAUUCCAUAAAAGAAAAAUAAAAGGAACAAAAUAAAUUGUUAAUUUCGGAUAACAUUAUCUAUUCAAUUAUUAAAUUAUAUAUAAAAAAGGGAAUUAUAAAAAAAACAUAAUUAUUAUUUAAUCAAAUUAAUCUUGUAAUCAUUUGGAAAAUAUAUUUACGAACAAAAAAUUUUAAAUUAAAUACAUUUUUAAAAAAUUUAAAAAAUAAAUAUAUUAUCUAAAUAAAUUUGAAAAAAAAAUUCAAAGAUUAUUUCAUAAAAGCAAAAAUAAAAGGAACAAAAUAAAUUGUUAAUUUUAGAUAAUAUUCAAUUAUUAAAUUACAUAAAUAAAAUAAAAGACAAUUAUAAAAAUUAAAUAAAUAACAUAAUUAUUUAAUCAAAUAAAAAAAUAAAUUAAUUAUAAAAAUCGAAGCAAAAAAUAAAUAAUUAAAUACAUAACAGUCACUGGACCGAUUGUUAACAGUCGGACCAUGACUGUUUAACAGUCGGCCCAUGACUGUUAACAAUGAUUGGGCCGACUGUUAAUAGUCUGGACCGACUGUUAACAGUCGGUCCAUAGACUAUGAACAGUCCAGACUGUUAACAGUAGUCGUCUUCCCGCAGGCGAAAUCGCCAUUGUCGACGAUGGAGAGGUCCAAAAAUUACGAAAAAUUCACACUUUUCACCCCAUUCACACCCAGAAUCUAACAACUUUACAUGAUGAUAAAUUUAAACCGAAUAAACGUAAAAAUAAUGAAUCUAAAAACUGAAACUUGUAAUAAACUUCGAGCGCCAAAACUAACCGAAAUAGUAGCGUGCAGGUAUGGAUUGAACAUUGAUGUUUUCAGCCGGUUGUUGAUCGGUCGUUCUUCAGGCAGUUGGUGUCGAUUUUCUUCGAAGGUCAAUUGGUCGGUUUGGAUAACUUUCUAACAGUCGGGUGUAUAGUGAAGGGUAAAAUCGUCCUUUUACUGUAAACUUAUAUUUUAACUUUUUUUUUAUUCAUUUAAUGGGUCAAAGGCCAAUGUUAAAAUUUGCUACAGUCGAAAGGUCAUUUCCAUGUAUUUCCUCAUGUGCAGGUAUCUCUUAUGAUAGCAGCCAACAGUCCUUUUUUAUUCCCCAAGCUAGCUGCAAUUUAUUUCCCAAGAACUCUCCAAUUUCUUUGGUUGCCUCCUCUCCGUUUUCUGUGCGUAAUGGAGCCGCUAUAAUUGACUCCAAAUUAGAGUCCAAUUUUCUCCCACCCGCUCCUCCUUUUCUUCUAGGCGUAUAUGUAUAUAUAUAUAACUUUCCACCAGCAAACUUAUUUCCACAGAGGCACACGUGAUCCCUUUAAUUUCAUUCCCACUGCAAGUCCAGCUAAGCCCAAUUAAGUCCAUUGCCAUUUAAUUUAAUAUUUCAAUGUUUCAUCUUUCCAAAAUAAUGCAAUUGAGUCCUUCAAUUUUCGAAAUAUGAAAUUUGAUCUCCUAUUUUGUAUCCAAUGGCCAAUUUAGUCCUCCAAUUUUUGCCUCUUUCCUUCAAUUCCUUUUCGUUCAUAAAUUUUUACCUAUUAAACAUAAAAUACAAGAGUUUAGGAUAUAAUUUGUCUAAAGAACUACCAAAUAUUGUCAUUUUAAGUCAUCGAAUAAGUGUAUAAAAUACACUUAUUAAAUACCCCAUAACUUAAACAUUUGUUUGUCCUCAAACAAAACUAUAACCUUAAUAAUAACAAACACACAAGCAUGCAAAAAUAUUUGGUCAAACAGUUUUGCUAUUUAUCACAAGAUUUGAGAUCAUCGUAUUAAAUUUACAAACCGAUUCAAAGUCACAAUACUAAAUCAAUAUCCACUCUUCCAAUGCAAAAUCGAUGUGUGUGUGUGAAGAAUUAAGUAGACAUUAAUGAAAUCACAAAUUAUUCCAAUUUCCGACCCUCUGUGGUCAAAUAUAUCCUUACAUUUCACGUUUGAUUCACACACCCCCAAACUUAUUCUUUUCACUUUUUUCUCAGUGUGUAACCUAAGGUUGAAUAUUUCAUUACUAUCCUCACCCUCUCGAGCUUAAGUGGAUGUUACUAGUUGCAAGUCAACACUUCAGUGAACAAGGAAUUCUCCAAUUAUUUGAUUACUUCGACCUCCAAGACUCAACUAGCUAAUUAUCUUGCAUCAAAAGUCAAAUUCCCUCAAAUAAGUAUUAGGGUUUAACCAAGGUAUUUAGCCCUUGUUUGGUACCCAUUUUUCCAAAAAUACAUUUUUCUCUAUCUUAUUUUCAACCAUAUACUCUUCAAUAAAAUAAUAUUACACGCAAAACUAAAACUUUUCCUUAUUUUUUAACCACACAUUUUUCAACAACCACUAUUACAAAAUGCAUUUUUUCUAUAAAAAUGAGAAACAAACAUGCUUUUAGUGCUUUUGCUUUUUUCAUGCACUUGCUUUUUCUGUUUUUCACAAGUAUAUAUAUAUAUAUAUAUAUAUAUAUAUAUAUAUAUAUAUAUAUUCUCUCAAUUAAACUUUCUAGAUGACCCCUGUAGUAGGCUUUAGGCCGAUGACUCCCAAAUCAAAUGAUUUUAGGGCACCAGGUUUUUAAAUACUCUUACAAGCUCACUGAACCAAGUCAAAAAGGUUCCGAAGAGAACAAAUUUAUUUUUUUAUUUUUUCAAGUGCAACUUCGUCUCUAAUUGCUUUCUAAAUGACCCUUGUAACGAGUUUUAGGCCGAUGACUCCCAAAUCAGACGACUUUAGGGCACCAGAUUUUAAGAUACCCUUACAGACUUAAUCACUUAAGUCAUAAAAGCUUCAGAAGGAAGUUUAAAAUUUUCAAAUAUAUAUGCCUUUAUUAAUGCAAUGCCCCUUAUCACACAUUUAUUCAAACAAACCGACCUUUAACUUGAGACUUUUGCAGAGUUUUAUCAUGUUAGUUUAAGAUAAUCCACGCAUAAGUUUUCACACAUGGAAUCCACAUUCACAUCCGCAUCUUCCUACGAUUGUAAAGUAACUCCCAAACUGUGCUAAAUUUGGUUUAAGGAUAAGUAAUUUAAUAUGGUUUAGGUAAAGCAUCUACGUCCAACUAAAUCAACCUAUCAAUAGCACGAAAUAACACAUUUCAUCACAAUGUCAAACUCAAUUCUAGUGCACUUGUAAUAUCAGAUUUUGCAAGGUUAAGUUUCAAUUAGUCUAGCACGCAUUUCAUCUACAAUUCAUAAAUCAAUACCAAGUCUCAAAUUAAAUUAGCAUAGCCAAUCAGAUUGUCUAACCCACACAAGCACACAACUAAAUAAAAGAAAUUUAUUAUUAUUUUUAUUUUUUUGUAAUUUUUGUAAUUUUUUUCUUUUUUUUUUCUCUUUUAUUUUUUUAUUUUAUUUUUUUUUAACGAACACACAAAAAACAUAUAAACACAUGAAAAGCAAAAACUAAAAUUUUUUUCACCCCCAAACUUAAAACUGACAUUGUCUCCAAUGUCAUAAUGCAUAAAUAAGCACAUAAAGGAGUAGAAAAGAAGAGGAAUAAGGCACUCCCCAAAAUUUUUCUUUUGAAUGUGUGAGGCAAUAUGUGUGACGGCUGGAUAAUCUUCUUUAUCAUGCUUUCCCUUAGGUAUAUGUUGAUUUGAUUGUUCCACGACGUCAUGCCCCUAGACAUAGCAAUAAAUGAAAUAUUAAAGAUUAAAUAACCUAGAACAUGUGUUACUUAAUCCAAACAAUCAAAAUAACCAACAAUAAAUUCAAGGGCCUACGGGUAGAAGGGAUAUGGGUGAUGACUCCAGAAUAAACUAAUAAAUUAAACUAAACUAUCUUAUAAUUGGACAAACAAAAAAAAAAAAAAAAAAAAGCUUGGGUUGCCUCCAAAGAAGCACUUCUUUUAAAUCAUUAGCUGGACAUAGUGCCACAGUUAUUCGGGAACAGCUAGAUCAAGACUCUCUUUAGCGGUGGGGAAAUCUUCCACAUAAUGCUUGAUGCGUUGGCCAUUUACUUUGAAAUUUCCUUUAGUUGGAUGGUGUAAUUCAACUGUCCCGUAGGGAAACACUUGAGAGACCGUAAAAGGACCAGACCAUCUAGACUUCAAUUUUCCUGGAAAAAGCUUAAGUUGGGAAUUGUAUAAUAGCACUUGAUCCCCUACUUGGAAAAUUCGUUGCCUGAUGUUCUUGUCGUGCCAUUGCUUUGUCCUUUCCUUAUAGAUGGAUGCAUUCUCAUAUGCCUCUCUUCUGAAUUCCUCCAACUCAUGUAGCUGUAAUACUCUUGUUUCUCCAGCCUUUUCGAGGUCUAUGUUUAACUGCUUCAAUGCACAGUACGCUCUGUGCUCAAACUUCACUGGUAGGUGGCAUGCUUUUCCAAAGACUAGUCGAUAUGGGGACAUCCCAUAGGUGUCUUGUACGCAGUGCGAUAUGCCCAUAAAGCAUCGUCUAAUUUCUUUGAUCGAUCCUUGCGAGAUGCAUUCACAGUGAGCUCCAAAAUUCUUUUCAAUUGUCUGUUCGAGGUUUCCACCUGUCCACUUGUCUGAGGGUGGUAAGGAGUGGCAAUUCGAUGUUGUACCCCAUACUUAUGUAGCACUGCCUGGAAUAACCAAUUGCAGAAAUGAGUUCCACCAUCACUUAUUAUGGCCCUAGGUGAUCCAUAGCGGUUAAAGAUGUGUUUCUUUAUGAAGUCUACCACCACCUUUGCGUCAUUUGUAGGCAAGGCUUUAGCUUCUACCCAUUUAGAGACAUAAUCCACUGCCACUAGGAUGUACCAAUUGUUAUAAGAUGAUGGAAAAGGACCCAUAAAAUCAAUCCCCCAAACAUCAAAUAUUUUCACCUCCAAAAUGUUGUUAAGUGGCAUCUCGUGACGCGCUGAUAUGUUACCUGUUCUCUGACAUUUAUCACAAGACCUGCAGAAACUAUGGCAAUCCUUGAACAAUGUAGGCCAAAAGAAACCACAUUGAAGCACCUUUGCUGUUGUUUUAAUGGGACCAAAGUGUCCUCCAUAAGUCGAAGCAUGAACCCGUGAAAGGAUAGGUUUCAUCUCAUCCUCUGGUACACAUCUCCUAAUGAUCUGGUCUGCCCCUCUCCUGUAUAAAUUUGGAUCAUUCCAAUAAUAAAAUUUUGCUUCAUGAAGCAGCUUCUUUUUCUACUAAUAGGUGAGAUCAGGAUCCAUAUAGCCACUAGCUAAGUAAUUAUCAAUGUCUGCAUACCACAGAACCUUCUCUAUUUGCAAUAACUAUUCAUCUGGGAAGACCUCAUUAAUAUCCAUGUCCUCUGAAUCACGUAGUUGCUCCUGCCUUGAUAAAUGAUCCGUUACCUAAUUUUCUGUACCCUUUUUGUCGCGAAUUUCAAUGUCAAACUCUUGCAGUAACAGAACCCAUCGAAUCAGCCUAGGUUUAGCAUUCUUCUUCUCAAACAGAUAUUUCAAUGCUACAUGGUCAAUGUAGACUAUCACCUUUGAACCAAUCAGAUAGGAACGAAAUUUGUCGAAGGCAAAUACCACUGCUAGCAUCUCUUUUUCUGUUAUUACAUAAUUGAUCGAGCAUCUAUCAAGGUUUUGCUGGUAUAGUAGAUUACAUGUAACAUUUUUCCUUUACGUUAGCCAAGCACCUCUCCCACUGCAAAUUCACUAGCAUCACACAUAAGUUCGAAAGGUAGAUCCCAAUCAGGUGCUAAUAUCACUGGUGCAGAAGUUAACUUUUCUUUCAAAGUAUUAAAGGCAUUUAAGCAUUCAUCAGAAAAGUGAAAUGGCAUAUCCUUCUCCAAUAGAUUAUAUAGAGGUUUUGUAAUUUUUGAGAAAUCUUGAAUGAAUCUUCUAUAAAACUUUGCAUGUCCUAAGAAGCUCCAAUCCCUUUAACUGAAUUAGGAGGCUGUAAUUUUUCAAUCACUUGUAUUUUGGCCUUGUCAACUUCGAUGCCCUUUGAGGAAAUCCUGUGGCCCAGCACUAUCCCCUAUUUUACCAUGAAAUGGCAUUUUUCACAAUUUAGCACUAGGUUCUUCUCUUCACAUUUUUGCAAUAUAAGAGCCAACCGAUCCAAGCAGUCAUCAAAUGAAUCUCCAAACACAGAAAAAUCAUCCAUGAAUAUUUUUUUCACCAUGUCAGAGAAUAUGGCCAUCAUGCACUGUUGAAAGGUUGCGGGUGCAUUGCAUAAACCAAAAGGCAUCCUUUUAAAUACAAAAGUUCCAUGGGAUAUGUGAAGAUUGUUUUCUCCUGGUCUUCUGGAGCAAUAACUAUUUGAUUAUACCCAGAAUAUCCAUCCAGAAAGCAGUAAUGAGAAUGAACGGCCAACAUCUCCAACAUCUGAUCAAUGAAUGACAAUGGAAAAUGAUCCUUUCUGGUUGCAUUGUUUAGCUUUUUGUAAUCUAUACAUACUCUCUACCUUGUCACUAACCGUAUUGGUAUCAGCUCGUUGUUCUCGUUCUUCUCUACUGUGAUUCCACCCUUUUUUGGCACAACAUGCACUGGACUCACCCAGGAACUAUCAGAGAUUGGAUAGAUAAUACCUGCAUCCAACAAUUUCAGCACUUCUUUUCGCACUACUUCUUUCAAGGUUGGAUUUAAUCUGUGUUGUCCUUCCGCUGAUGGCUUUGACCCGUUCUCCAUUAAAAUCUUGUGCAUACAAAGAGUUGGACUUAUUCCUCUGAUAUCAGCCAUUGUCCAUCCAAUUGUCGUUUUGUGCUACUUGAGUACCUCCAACAAUUUAUUCUCCUCUUCCAUUGUCAUGUCAUUUGCAAUAAUUACUGGAAGUGUUGUAGAUUCUCCCAAAUACGCAUAAUGGAAAUGUGAAGGCAAGGGCUUUAGUUCAAGAGUGGGUGCCUUUUCUACUGAAGGUACUGGGGGUGAAGGAUUGUCACCAAGAGAUUCAUACUGCCAAUGUCUUAUUCCUACUAGUUGCUUAGCCAAGUUGACGACACGUUCAGUUUUUUCUGCAUUAGUUGCUCCUAAUUGCGCAAGUUCUGCCUCACAAAGAUUUGUGUGAUGCUCUAUAUUAAAUGUAUCCGCCAUAAGCUCUUCAAGAACAUCAACUUGGCAGCAAGUGUUGGAAGUUAAUGGGUGUUUCAUUGCCUUGAACACAUUGAAUAUGACUUGCUCAUUGUCCACUCGAAGAAUCAUUUUUCCAUUAUAAACAUCAAUCAAUGCUCUCCCAGUAGACAAGAAGGGUCUCCCCAAGAUCAGAGGAAUAUUUGAGUCCUCUUCCAUGUCCAAAAUAAUGAAAUCAGCGGGAAAAAUAAAUUUGUCAACUUUGACCAGCACAUCUUCAAUAAUUCAUUUUGGUUGUUUGAUCGAUCUGUCGGCCAGUUGCAAAGAGAUUGUUGUAGGUUUUGCUUCUCCUAAUCCAAGAGACCUAUAGACAGAGAAAGACAUCAAAUUAACACUGGCACCUAAAUCACAUAAAGAAUGUUCAAAGAAAUUAGAACCAAUUGUGCAAGGUAUAGUAAAACUCCCUGAGUCUUUUAGUUUAGGAGGUAGCUUUCUCAAUAGUAUUGCACUGCACUCCUCGUUCAGGCAGACUGUCUCAUGUUCUUCCAGCUUCCUUUUGUUAGAUAGGAUCUCUUUCAAAAAUUUUGAAUAGCUGGGCAUUUGGGCAAUUGCGUCUGCAAUGAAAUAUUGAUGUGCAGUUUCUUGAAAAUCUCCACAAACUUGGCAAACUGAUUAUCCAACUUCUUUCUUUGUAACAUUUGAGGGAAGGAAAUUGGUGGCAUAUAAGCUUUCACGGGGCUGGGUGCUCUCACUGCAGGUGUUUCUUUCCUUUCGUUCUCCUUGUCAGUUGAUUGUUUGAACUCUACUUCUAUCCCAGCCUCUUCACCCAUUAUUUCCUUUUCUUUUCGCUCUGGUCUCUUCAAAUGUAUUUUUGGAAGUUACACCCCACUCCUGGUAGUAAUAGCUUGCACUUGCUCUUUUGGAUUGACCAUUGUGUUGCCUGGCAAUGUCCCUUGUGGGCGUUCUACAAGCUGUUGAGCUAUCUGACCAAUUUGUGUUUCCAAUUUCUUGAUUGAUGCUUGAUGAUUCUGAAAGUUAGUGUCAAUCUGCUGAAACGUCUUGUCAGUCUUCUGUAUGUACUGGUUGAACAACUCCCCUAAACUUGGUUUUUUCUCCUGUUGAGCAUUAUUUGAACUGUUCCCUUGCUGAUUAUCCGACCAUCUAAAGUUUGGGUGUUGUCUCCAUCCUGGGUUAUACAUUUGAGCAAAUGGAUUAAAAUUUCGAGACCCAUUCUGAAUGAAAUUGACUUGUUCGUCAGAUAGCCUAUAGAUGUGCAGUUUUCUGUCAGAUGAUUAGCCUCGCAGUUAUUGCAUGAUGGACCAGCUGUCACUGCAUGUGUUCCUUUCGUUUGUGAUUUCACCAAUAAUUUCACAUGUUUUGUCAAUGCUACUAUUUGGACAUUGGUAACUGCUGUGCUGUCUAACUCAUACAUUCCUCCUGUCUUCGGUGGCUCCACUCUUUCCGAUGAGAACAUUGAAUGUGUAGUGGCAAUCAACUCAAACAGUUCCAUGGUUUGCUACAUAGAUUUUCCUAUAAUUGAUCCUCCAACUGAGGCAUCGACUUGGAAUUUUGACGGUGGUGUAAGUCCAGUGUAGAAGUAUUGCACUUGAUUACCUAUAGUAAUUCAAUGGUUUGGGCAUUUUCUCAUCAUCUCAUUAAACUUAUUUCAUGCUUCGUGAUAGCUUUGUCCCUCUUUCUAUUGAAGAGUUUGAAUUUUCAAUCUAAUUUUAGCUACCCUCAUCGGUGGGAAAAAUUUAUUACAUAACUUCCUGGUUAGUUCUUCCCAUAUAGUAAUGCUGGCAUGAGGCUCAGCAUCUAACCACUCCAAUGCAGCAUCUCUCAAUGUAAAUGGGAAUAGUCGUAGUUUAAUAGCAUAUUCAUUGACCCCCGAAGUAUGAAAGUUCUGACAGUUUCUGAAAAAUCUAGAGAUAUACGUGUUUGGAUUCUCAUGAGCUAGCCCGUAGAAUUGCAGGGUGUUGCUCAUCAAGUUAAUCCAAUCUGGCUUGAUCUGGAAAUUAUUCACCCCAAAAUCUGGAUACACGAUACUGGAGCGCAUGGGUGCUGCUAUAGGUGUCUGGAACAUUGAUACUGGCAAAUCACCUUCAUUUAUUUCCCCUCGCUGAUGCUGUUGUUCCGGUGGUGCCACCACUCUUGCGGCCAUUUGUCCAAUCGGCUGAAUAGGUGUAGAGAUUUGUUGAUUGUCAGCCAUUUGAUGUUGCUUUUUUUAUUUGUGUUCUUUGCGUCUUCGCCUUAAGGUACGUUUUAUCUCCUAAUCAAACGGUUCGAGAUGUUCGCCUUUGGCACGGAGCAUAUAACGAAUACAAUUUUCUGUAAAUAAAAGAAAAAUAAACAAAUCAAAUAACAGUUAAAAUAAAAAUUAAUUAAGACUAAAAGAAAUAGUCCCCAACAACGGCGCCAAAAAUUUGUUGUCGAUUUUAUCCCGCAAGUGAACGGAUCGUAACAAGUAUUAAAGUGGACCUUUUGAGUCCGGAUUAUCAUUCCCACGAGACCAUACUUUUAAUGCUCAAUUUAUUAUUCCUAACUUUUAUUUGACAAAAAAAAAACGAAAACAACGAUUGAAUGUGAUUUUUUUAUCUAACUACUAAAAAAAUGCAAAUGGAUGCAACAGAAAAUGAGUGAGAAUUCAAAUAAUAAAGGACGAUAGAGCGGAACAAUUUCACCUAAUGGUCACCUUUACUUCGUAAAUCAAGAUUCAUACAACCUAAAGUAGUGUUCGGUCGAAUUCUUCUAUGGUAUUCAACUUACCCCUCUCGAGUUUUCGUUAAACCUAUUUAAUUAGUUCAAUUCCAUAUCUCUAUGCAAAUUAAAUUUAAUUAAAUGAAACAUUAGUUCUAAGAAUUCACAUACGACCGCAGCAAUCAAUAUAAGUAUCUCUACACGUUAUAUCGAUUACUGGAUUUUAACAUGUGGUCUAAACAUAUAAUCCGCAUCUCUACACAAUUAUUGUUUAUAAAUCAUCUAAUUAGUGAUCAAGUAAUUAAAUGCAUUAAGAACAACAUUAAAAUCAACACAUAAAAUAUAAAAGCACUAGAAUCUUAAUUUAACGAAAUAAAGGGUUCCAAACAAGUUACAUUGUUCGCCCUAAAAUCAAAUUUAGCUACGCAUAAUAAUGGAGGAAAAAACACAAGUUUAAUUGGAAAUUCAUCAUCGGGAAUUCAUGGAACGUGAAUAAAUUUUCAAUUAUGCUCCAGCCGUACAACUCCGUUUGUGUAAUUCUCCCUUUCUCGUCUCUGUUUGCACGUGUAUUGAUUUCAGCAGUAAGCAGUUCCUUCACUCAGCAGCCGAAAUUUCCAUGUGUAUGUAGAUAAAUUUUAGCAGUCGGCAGCCUUAUUAAUUCAACAGUUUUCUUUGCUUCGAUUUUCGUGCCGGUAGCCGCUAAUUCACUCCAAACUGUCCUCACUUUCUGUGCUUGAAUUUAAUAAUACUCUUGGCUACCCUCUGU